rnacentral:rRNA from 1 species
AUGUGUAUCCCAAAGGAGAGAGCAAGGAUGGGAUUUCGGGACAUUCAGAGUUUCAACUUGGCGAUGCUCGCGAAACAGUGUUGGAGAUUAAUAGACAACUAUGACUCUCUAUGUGCUCGAGUCUUACGAGCCAAGUAUUACCCCACGGGAGAUAUACUAAACAACCAGUUAAAGAAGGGUUCGUCCUAUGUGUGGCAGAGCAUCUGGUCUGGAAUUCAAACUUUCAAACAUGGCUGUAUUUGGAGAGUGGGUAACGGAAACAAAAUUAACAUAUGGGAUGAUUGCUGGAUUCCAAACAGUGCAUUAAAGAAAAUCCUUACAGCCCGUGGGAACCGAGUUCUCACAAUGGUGAACGAGCUCAUAGACCCAACUAUGGGAGAAUGGGAUGAGCAACUGAUCCGGGACAAUUUUUGGCACAUAGAUGCAGAAUGGAUUUUGUAAAUCCCAUUAUUUCAUGUUGAAACUGAAGACUAUGUGUCAUGGCAUCUAACAAAGAAUGGGAUUUUUUCAGUAUGCUCUGCUUACUAUAAACAGUGGGAGAUGAGCUAUGCAUCGGAGGACAGCAGCUUGGUCCGAUCAGCUAUGGCACCGCAUAAAGUUUGGAAAACCUUGUGGAACUUGAAAGUGCCUGCGAAAAUAAAAAUUCACAUCUGGAGAUGUCUACAUAACACAAUACCAUGUCAUAGUGUGCUAAUGAACCGUCAUGUGGGGAAUAUAUCUGGCUGUCCGUUUUGUUCAGAAGGAGCAGAAGAUCUCGCGCAUAUGUUGUUUAAAUGCGCCAGAUCGCAAGAAGUGUGGAGAUCCCUGGGAGUUGCUGAUGAUAUAAAUUUUGCCUGUCAAAUGGAUCGAGCGGGUUCAGCAACUUUAGAGUUUCUUCUCUGUGAUGAAUAUUUUCGAAGACAAUAUAAUAGUGUGCUUGAGCUACCGGAGUUGUUUACCACAGCCUGUUGGUAUAUUUGGUGGCAACGGAGACAGUUUGUGCGGGGUGAGGAUAUUGUCUCUCCAGCGCGAACGACCGUAGCAGUGGCAGCCCUAUCUCUGAACUAUGCCCGUGGAGCACAAACAAAAAUGACACCAAAAGUGAACACCUGGCCGGGAUUUUUCACUGGUCAGAUAGUCAUUAACGUCGAUGCGUCGUUCAGAGAAGGAGAGUAUGCAAGAUCUUGUGGAGUAGUCAUCCGGGAAAAUCGUGGAAAUUUCAUGUCUGCAACAACAGAACACUCGAUCAUGUACCCGAUGUAG